rnacentral:rRNA from 1 species
CCUACGGGGGGCUGCAGUAGGGAAUAUUGCUCAAUGGGGGAAACCCUGAAGCAGCAACGCCGCGUGGAGGAUGAAGGUUUUAGGAUUGUAAACUCCUUUUGUGAGAGAAGAUAAUGACGGUAUGUAACGAAUAAGCCCCGGCCAACUCCGUGCCAGCAGCCGCGGUCAUACGGAGGGUGCAAGCGUUACUCGGAAUUACUGGGCGUAAGGAGUGCGCAGGCGGGCUUGUAAGUCAGAUGUGAAAGCCUGUGGCUUAACUACAGAACUGCAUUUGAAACUAUGAAUCUAGAGUGUGGGAGAGGUAGGUGGAAUUCUUGGUGUAGGGGUAAAAUCCGUAGAUAUCAAGAGGAAUACUCAUUGCGAAGGCGACCUACUGGAACAUUACUGACGCUCAUGCACGAAAGCGUGGGGAGCAAACAGGAUUAGAUACCCCUGUAGUC